AUGGGCAAGACAACUCUUGCAAACCAAGUAUAUCAAGAGCUCAAGGGACAAUACGAUUGUCGGGCUUUCGUAUCGGUUUCACGAAAUCCAAACAUGAUGACUAUCUUGAGAACCAUUCUCAGUGAAGUGGCUAAUAAAGAUUAUGGUGACACGGAAGUGGGGAGUACACAACAACUCGUCAGCAAGAUCACUGAGUUCCUACAAGACAAAAGGUACUUUGUUGUUGUUGACGAUAUAUGGGACGUGGAUACCUGGCAUAUUAUUAAGUGUGCAUUCCCUGCUACAAGUUCUACCAGUAGAAUAGUCACGACUACUCGUAUAAACAAUGUCGCUCAUUCAUGUUGCUCAUCAUUCAAUGGCUGUGUUUACAAUAUAUGGGCUCUUGAUGUGGUGCACUCAAGACAGUUAGUUUAA
rnacentral:rRNA from 1 species